rnacentral:rRNA from 1 species
UAGGGAAUCUUCGGCAAUGGGGGCAACCCUGACCGAGCAACGCCGCGUGAGUGAAGAAGGUCUUCGGAUCGUAAAACUCUGUUGUUAGAGAAGAACACGAGUGAGAGUAACUGUUCAUUCGAUGACGGUAUCUAACCAGCAAGUCACGGCUAACUACGUGCCCG